UACGAAGGGGGCGAGCGUUGUUCGGAUUUACUGGGCGUAAAGGGCGCGUAGGCGGCCUGCUAAGUCGAACGUGAAAUCCCUGGGCUCAACCCAGGAACUGCGUCCGAUACAUGGUUGGCUUGAAUCCGGGAGAGGGAUGUGGAAUUCCAGGUGUAGCGGUGAAAUGCGUAGAUAUACUGGAGGAACACCGGUGGCGAAGGCGACAUCCUGGACCGGUAUUGACGCUGAGGCGCGAAAGCCAGGGGAGCAAACGGGA
rnacentral:rRNA from 1 species